rnacentral:misc_RNA from 1 species
AAAAAAAAAAAAAAAAAUUUCAUGAAAAGAUUGUUCGCCAAUUAUAGUGAACUAUAACUAGCGAACUGUAGUUCGCUACUAUGACUGGCGAACGAGGGGUUGAAAACCUUGAUAUCGAAUUUUUUUUUUUCUUCACCUUGAUUUUGUAAUUUUUUUUUUCCUACUACCGUGAUUUGAAGCAAUUUUUACCUACUUUGCAAUUUUUCUACCAGUUUCACAUUGCGGCUACACAUGCUUAUUAGGACCUAGUUUACCUAUAGUGUGGAUUGCUCUAGUACAUAGUAGACCAGAAAUCCUUGUCUAGAAAUGUGGUAUGGCAGGGGUGGGCUUCUUUUGGAUCACUUGGCGAGAACAAAAUAUACAAUUACCAUGUAAUGAAUAUACAAAGUAUCCUUUGCUGGAUAACCUGGUGAGUCGGGUUACUGGCUGACUGCUAACCUCUAGGGUCUCUAGUAGUUUUAGUUCCCACUUGCAA